rnacentral:rRNA from 1 species
CACGUAGGGUGCGAGCGUUGUCCGGAAUUAUUGGGCGUAAAGAGCUCGUAGGCGGUGUGUCGCGUCGGCCGUGAAAACCUGCAGCUCAACUGCGAGCCUGCGGUCGAUACGGGCAGGCUAGAGUUCGGUAGGGGAGACUGGAAUUCCUGGUGUAGCGGUGAAAUGCGCAGAUAUCAGGAGGAACACCGAUGGCGAAGGCAGGUCUCUGGGCCGAUACUGACGCUGAGGAGCGAAAGCGUGGGGAGCGAACAGG